GACGAACGCUGGCGGCGUGCUUAACACAUGCAAGUCGAACGGAAAGGCCCUGCUUUUGUGGGGUGCUCGAGUGGCGAACGUGUGAGUAACACGUGAGUAACCUGCCCUUGACUUUGUGAUAACUUCAGGAAACUGGGGCUAAUACCGGAUAGGAGCUCCUGCUGCAUGGUGGGGGUUGGAAAGUUUCGGCGGUUGGGGAUGGACUCGCGGCUUAUCAGCUUGUUUGUGGGGUAGUGGCUUACCAAGGCUUUGACGGGUAGCCGGCCUGUGAGGGUGACCGGCAAAAUUGGGACUGAGAUACGGCACAGAAUCCAACGGGAGGCAGCAGUGGGGAAUAUUGCACAAUGGGCGGAAGCCUGAUGCAGAAACGCAGCGUGCGGGAUGAAGGCCUUCGGGUUGUAAACAGAUUUCGCAUGUGACGAAGCGUGAGUGGCGGUAAUGGGUAAAGAAGCACCGGCUAACUACGUG
rnacentral:rRNA from 1 species